AGCCAGACUCCUACGGGAGGCAGCAGUGGGGGAUAUUGCACAAUGGGGGAAACCCUGAUGCAGCGACGCCGCGUGGGUGAAGAAGUAUUUCGGUAUGUAAAGCCCUAUCAGCAGGGAAGAAAGAAGACGGUACCUGACUAAGAAGCCCCGGCUAACUACGUGCCAGCAGCCGCGGUAAUACGUAGGGGGCGAGCGUUAUCCGGAUUCACUGGGUGUAAAGGGAGCGUAGACGGCCGUGCAAGCCAGGAGUGAAAGCCCGGGGCCCAACCCCGGGACUGCUCUUGGAACUGUGCGGCUGGAGUGCGGGAGAGGUAAGCGGAAUUCCUAGUGUAGCGGUGAAAUGCGUAGAUAUUAGGAGGAACACCAGUGGCGAAGGCGGCUUACUGGACUGUAACUGACGUUGAGGCUCGAAAGCGUGGGGAGCAAACAGGAUUAGAUACCCCAGUA
rnacentral:rRNA from 1 species